rnacentral:rRNA from 1 species
GACGAACCGUGCGAACGUUGUUCGGAAUCACUGGGCUUAAAGGGCGCGUAGGCGGGCCAUCAAGUCCGGGGUGAAAUCUUUCGGCUCAACCGGAAAAGUGCCUUGGAUACUGGUGGUCUUGAGUGAGGUAGGGGCAUGUGGAACUUCCGGUGGAGCGGUGAAAUGCGUUGAUAUCGGAAGGAACUCCGGUGGCGAAAGCGACGUGCUGGACCUCUUCUGACGCUGAGGCGCGAAAGCUAGGGGAGCGAACGGG